CUUGAGCGACCCCAGCCACAGCGGGUUGUCCGGGUCGCGGUCCUGGCCGUAGGUGGCCAGCAGGGCCUGCGCCUC
rnacentral:antisense_RNA from 1 species